rfam:Clostridium grantii DSM 8605 genome assembly, contig: EJ34DRAFT_scaffold00002.2
GAAAUCUUUAAAAUAGUCCUGUGAGGCUGGUAAGAUAAUUAUAUUGAACAAAGACUUUAUGAGUCUUAUUCUGCGCGAAUAUAACUUCUUAUCAGUAGGUAAGAAGUUUUUUUAU